ensembl:lincRNA
GUGGACAUAGACAGGUGUAUUAUGGGGCCUCCAGUCAUGCUUAAUGGAAGAUACUAACUCAAUUGAUAUAAGCAAAGGAAAAUACAGUGUAUUAUAUAAUGAGACAUCUUGAGUAGGGUAGUCCUAGGGUCAGUUGAUUCAGCAGCUUGAUUCAUAAUCAAGAGCCCAAAUUCUUUUCCACUUUCUACCCUGUCAUCCUCAGCCUAUCAGUUUCAUCCUCCCGGUGGCUCAAAGGUAGUUGCAAGGUGGUUGCUAUCAUGCCAUGUCCUACAUGCAGAUGUGAAACGUAUCUCUUUUCAUAAGUCUCAUUUUAAGGGCAAGGAAACACCUGCAGGCCUUUCUGCCACUCUUUUGACCCACUUAUUUUAUUGUGGAACAAGUGACAAACACCUCUUUAAGUGGAUCACUUGGCCAGGAGGGAGAGCUUGCCAUUAUCCUUAGAUGGAGGAGAAUAGGGGUGAGGGUUGUUAUGCCUGAACAUAAGCAGUGCUCUGCCAGUAAAUAAGUGCAGAGAUGGGGCGAUAAAUAGGCAAUUCCUUACCAAGGAGCCAUGGUAAAGCUUCAGGCCAGCUCAGAAGGUGAUGAAGAUGGAGUACACUCCACAGCAACCAGAACAACCAGAAGGAACACACGUUUACAGCCUGCUUCCGAUUCCACACCAUGAGGACAAUGGGUGCAGCAUGCCACACUGGUCCAGGAACUCAGAACUAGGACAGCAGCAGUGGGGAGGAGAAAUGGAGAGAAACAGAAGCUGCCUCUGAUGCACUGAUCCCACCACCCAUAAAUGAUCUUUUCAUGAGCCGGCUUCAUAUUAAAGACAAGACACAGCUGUCAGGGCCUCCAGAGAUUUCCCAGCAGUCUACUCUGGUGAAAUAAAAUACCAUGUUAUGCUGGAAAACUAGCCUGUCCUUUCUGAACAUGAGCUGUGUUAUUCUCAUGGCCAAGAUAAAGGAUCCCAGGCCCUGGACACUUACUGCUUCUCUUGAGAUUUGUGGCAUAAUCUUCUAGAUAGUACUUGAUUUUGUGUGUGUGUUCCAGCUUCCCCGCAUGAUAUUGAUAAUUAUCUUCUAAAGGGAUUGGAUAUGUUUGUAUAAUACAUGUAUACUACUCCUUCUUGAAAUACUGUCUUGAAGGAGAGCAUUUGGUUACCAUUAAAGCAACUCUUUCGCUUCCAAGUGGUGAGAAGUUCUGUGGCCCUGGUGCCACAGAUGACUUGGGAUGUUGACAGAGUUGUGAUCGUCCCUGUAGGCAUCUUUUGUGUCAUUACUACCAGAAGGAUUGCAUUAUACAAAUGGGCUGAGGUUUGUACAUAAUGAUUGGUUGAACUGCUUCUGAUGUUGCAAUCUCAGCUUUAUCUGCCUCAGAGUAAAUGGAGCCAGCUGAAAUAGGUCUGUAACCCUGCAUGGAGAUUUGGAGUAUACAAGUAAAAUGUUGGGAAGGUGUCUAAUUGGAGACUGUUUUUAGUUAAAUGGUUUACACCCUAGUAGAGACCAAGAGAGAAGGCACACGUGAUGCUCCAACCUCAUAUUUUGAUUUCAGUCUUCAAAUAAUAGUAUGAAUUUCAAAUCCCAGCAAAGGCUUGCAUAAGCCUAUGGUAAAGGAGAAGUAUCUCAGAAACUAAAAAGUUCUUCUGACUGAUGACAGGAGCUCUCCAAGUGUUGACAGACAGCCCUCCUCACACAUUCCUUUCUCCCUCUCCCAUUUUAUCCUAAUUAUAAGCUAGCAAAUAGGAUAAAGGAAGACACCUCUCCCUAUUGGAUAUACCUGUGUUCAGAAAUCUUUACCAAACUAAAAUAAUCAGAAUCCAAUUUCUAAGAAUCUAGUUUAUUUCUAACCUAUCUGCAAGGUAUACCUGGGAGGGUAGGUAAGGAUCUAAUUAGUGAUACAAAUGUCAUUCAAUCAGACAAACAGAUUCCUUUGGGAGUACACAAAUAAAAUCCCAACCAGUAGAAUUUACCAACUGAGGAAUAAAUAUAGAGCCUUGUUUAUUUUCUAUAUUUUUAUGCAAUAGGUAAGUGCUCAGUAAAUACAGUUGGGUUGGAUUAUUAAAUUGAAAACAUCCAUGCCCACUUUGAAGAAAAUAAUCUGAAGGGAAAUUAUCUAAUGCCAUGAAUAUGUAAAUUAUACCUUGACCCACUUUUCUGCUUCUCAAUUGUGAGGCCAAAAUGCCUUCCACGUAUAACUUUCUAAUUUUUACAAGUUGUAAUAGUCCCUGAGGGAAGGGAAAUAGCAAUUGCCAUUAUCCCAUUUUACAGAUAUGAGAACUGAAGCACAAGCUGCUCAGCCAGGAAUGGCAACUCUGUAAGAGUCAGAGUAAAAUGAUAUAAGACUGGGACAGAGGGAGCAGAAAUGCUGCCUAGAAUUUAGUCUGAGGUUCCUAUUCUAUCUCCUUGCCUCCUUUGACCAGAUAAUAACCUAGGAACCCCUGGCAUUGCACUCUCACACACCAGGAGAAGCUUCCCCUGCCCAUCACAAGGGCAGAGCAAACAGCCAAAUGGCAGGACUCAUGUAUAGCAGGGGCUCUGUUCUGCUUACCAUGAUGGGCCCACCUUCACCCCCAUUCCCCAGUGCCUACCUAAUUCAGCACUUGCAUUGGCCCUAGCAAACAAGGGUCAAAUGACAGGAUGAAUCAAUGAAGGACUUGUGAUUCCCAUUUUUGGUGUUCAACCCAUUAAAUCAAUGUUUCUUAAAAGAAGUUGGUCACGGUUGCUCAUGCCUAUAAUCCCAGGGGCUCGGGAGGCUGAAGCAAGAGGAUAUCUUGAGGCCAGGAGUCUGAGACCAGCCUCAGUAACAUAGGGAGACCCUGCCUCUACAAAAUUAAAAAGAAAAACAUUAGUCAGUCUGGUAGUCUCAGCUCCUCUGGAGGUUGAGUCAGGAGGAUUGCUUGGGCCCAGAAGUUUGAGGCUGCCUUGAUUGCUGCCCUGCACUCCAGCCUGGGUAACAGAGUGAGACCCUGUUUCAAAAAAAGAAAGAAAGAAAGAAAAAAGAAGUCUUAAGACAUUACAGUCUACCCUUUUAGAAGAGAAAAUGCCUGAUAGCAUCACUUACCUGCAAUCAUUCCUGCAGAAACAGCAAAAAGACUCUUUCCACAUUUCAAGGAACCACAUGCAUCUGGUUCUAGUGAUGCUCCUUUCUAAUAAAACAAAUACUCCUUGUCGGGCGUGGUGGCUCACACCUGUAA